rnacentral:rRNA from 1 species
UACAGAGGGGGCAAGCGUUAUUCGGAAUUAUUGGGCGUAAAGGGCGCGUAGGCGGCCUGGCAAGUGACGGGUGAAAGCCCUCGGCUCAACCGAGGAACUGCCUGUCAUACUGCCGGGCUUGAGUCCGGGAGAGGUGAGUGGAAUUCCCAGUGUAGCGGUGAAAUGCGUAGAUAUUGGGAGGAACACCAGUGGCGAAGGCGGCUCACUGGACCGGAGCUGACGCUGAGGCGCGAAAGCGUGGGGAGCAAACAGG